rnacentral:rRNA from 1 species
GCCUAACACAUGCAAGUCGAAUGGUAACAGGAAACAGCUUGCUGUUUCGCUGACGAGUGGCGGACGGGUGAGUAAUGUCUGGGAAACUGCCUGAUGGAGGGGGAUAACUACUGGAAACGGUAGCUAAUACCGCAUAACGUCGCAAGACCAAAGAGGGGGACCUUCGGGCCUCUUGCCAUCAGAUGUGCCCAGAUGGGAUUAGCUAGUAGGUGGGGUAACGGCUCACCUAGGCGACGAUCCCUAGCUGGUCUGAGAGGAUGACCAGCCACACUGGAACUGAGACACGGUCCAGACUCCUACGGGAGGCAGCAGUGGGGAAUAUUGCACAAUGGGCGCAAGCCUGAUGCAGCCAUGCCGCGUGUAUGAAGAAGGCCUUCGGGUUGUAAAGUACUUUCAGCGGGGAGGAAGGGAGUAAAGUUAAUACCUUUGCUCAUUGACGUUACCCGCAGAAGAAGCACCGGCUAACUCCGUGCCAGCAGCCGCGGUAAUACGGAGGGUGCAAGCGUUAAUCGGAAUUACUGGGCGUAAAGCGCACGCAGGCGGUUUGUUAAGUCAGAUGUGAAAUCCCCGGGCUCAACCUGGGAACUGCAUCUGAUACUGGCAAGCUUGAGUCUCGUAGAGGGGGGUAGAAUUCCAGGUGUAGCGGUGAAAUGCGUAGAGAUCUGGAGGAAUACCGGUGGCG